AUGGAGGUGGGCGACCUGCACAAGGUGUGGGAGAUCCGGGCGCUCAAGCGGAAGCCCGAGGAGCCGGCCGCCCGCGCGCUCCUCGACCGCGUCGCCAAGCAGGUCCAGCCCAUCAUGCGCCGCCGCAAGUGGCGCGUCAAGGUCCUCUCCGAGUUCUCGCCGAAGAACCCGAGGCUGCUGGGGCUCAACGUCAACCGGGGCGUCGAGGUGAAGCUGCGGCUCCGGCGCGACGGCCGCGACCUCGACUUCAUCCCCUACGAGGAGGUGCUCGACACCAUGCUCCACGAGCUCGCGCACAACGCGCGCGGGCCCCACGACGCGCAGUUCUACAAGCUCUGGGACGAGCUGCGCAAGGAAUGUGAAGAACUUGUUGCAAAGGGUAUCACGGGGCCAGGACAAGGGUUUGAUGGUACAGGCAGGCGAUUAGGUGGAUUUUCAAUACAUCCACCACCACCAUCUCUCCGACAAGCUACACUAACUGCAGCACAGAAACGGGCAAGGAAUGGAGCUCUAUUGCCGUCCGGCCCAAGAAAGUUGGGUGGAAACAAUGCCAUCAUGAGUGCUCUUAGUCCAGUACAAGCUGCUGCCAUGGCUGCUGAAAGGAGGAUGCAGGAUGACUUGUGGUGCGGAUCUCAUAAUGAUUCUGGUAUUGAUGAUUCAGAAGAUGUUGUUAUUCUUGAGCAACCACCUAACUUGACAACAAGGGAUGGAAAAAACACAAAGCGUGCAAAAAACACAAGGUGUGAUUCUUCUAGCAGUUCUGCAGAACCCAGCACUUCGUCUGGAUCUCAAGUUCCAGCACGAGCUGAUUCCUCUUCUGGUAGAACGACUGGUGCGGACUUCAGUUCUAUGUGGGAGUGUAGUGCUUGCACUCUUCUUAAUCAGCCUCUGGCACCAAUUUGUGAAGUUUGUGGGACAGCGAAACCUAAAAUUGCAAAAGCCAAGUAUGCAUCUUGGUCCUGUAAAUUCUGCACUCUGGAGAACUGCACUAAGCUUGAUAAAUGUUCGGCAUGCGAUCAAUGGAGGUACUCAUAUGGACCACCUGUAGCCACAUAUGGUCCAAGCUACGAUUGA
rnacentral:rRNA from 1 species